rnacentral:rRNA from 1 species
UACGGAGGGUGCAAGCGUUAUCCGGAUUUACUGGGUUUAAAGGGUGCGUAGGUGGGUUUGUAAGUCAGUGGUGAAAUCUCCGAGCUUAACUCGGAAACUGCCAUUGAUACUAUAGAUCUUGAAUUAUCUGGAGGUGAGCGGAAUAUGUCAUGUAGCGGUGAAAUGCUUAGAUAUGACAUAGAACACCAAUUGCGAAGGCAGCUCACUACGGAUUGAUUGACACUGAGGCACGAAAGCGUGGGGAGCAAACAGG